rnacentral:rRNA from 1 species
UACGUAGGGUGCGAGCGUUGUCCGGAAUUAUUGGGCGUAAAGGGCUCGUAGGCGGUUUGUCGCGUCGGGAGUGAAAACACCGGGCUUAACUCGGUGCUUGCUUUCGAUACGGGCAGACUAGAGGUAGGUAGGGGAGAACGGAAUUCCCGGUGUAGCGGUGAAAUGCGCAGAUAUCGGGAGGAACACCGGUGGCGAAGGCGGCAUCCUGGACCGACACUGACGCUGAGGAGCGAAAGCCAGGGGAGCAAAGCGGG